AAUUUAUUAUUAGAUCAUCUCGAGUUGAAGUUGGGCCAAUUGUAUCUUCACAAAUCUUGAGCCUUGGCCUACUUGAAUAUGAUUGAAAUUGGACUGGAUCGGCUGAAAAAAUGCCUUGACGCUUCUUGAUCUUCCAAUAUACUUGAAUCCAGUGAAGUGUGAAAAUUAUGAUUGAGGCAUUAUAAUUCCCCUAAAUAUCUGUUUUUGACCACCUGGGUCAAAAAUCAUUCUUUGUUCUGUUCACGGCAUCUUCAGGGCUACAUCGAGAGCUACCUGGAGGAAAUACUCUCCAAUGUCCGGUCCCCAUUCUCUAUUUAUAUUGUUUUGUAAUCCUCCGUUGAGUGUCACCCAGGACUAACAAAUCAACUUUUUUACUAUUUGGCAAGCAUGCCAAACCAAGAUCCAAGUUAAACCGUUGACCCAACUUGAUUUGAACAUACAGUAGACAGUUUUCUCCUAUUUAGUGACCAAGAGAUCACUUCCAACCCCAACAUGCUCAUUUUCUGGUCCAGAUUCCUAUUAUGUUGGGUCUGCCCUCUUCUUCUGAGCUUGAUGGACGUAUAUAAAAUUAGUAAUGCUUAUGUAAUUUAGUUUAUCCGAGUGUUUGAAAGGUAGAAUAGGGUCUAUGUCUUCAAGUUUGAAAGGUAGAAUAGGGUCUAUGUCGUCAAGUACAGGUUUCGUGGAAGACAAUAAUUGCUCUUCUGCUUAACGUAACCAGUGUCUCAACAACAUAGCAUUUUGUGGAAAUGCUGAUUAGUCAAACUGAAAGGAGCCUAACAUCACGAAGGCCCGUAUUUUAACUCUUUAUCAGAUGUUCCUGCAUCUAUGUCGAGUGAAAAAUAAAUAAUUUGGAGUAACCUCGCGGGAUGUGCAAAUUGGAUGUGGAUGUGCUGAUAGGGAGAGGCUGAACUUGGGCGUAUUAGAGAAUUUGACUAUUUAAUUCUGCUCAUCAGCAUAUGCAGUUGAUUGUAAUUUUUCAAAUAUUUAACAUGAUACAUUUCUUGAGGAGAUUCUCAUCUUCUAUGCUUAUUCAGGAGAUUUGGUUUGUAAUAUACUCGUUUGUCUUUUCCUCUGUAGAUAAUUGCGCCUCUGAAAAUAUCCUUGUAUUCUAGAAAAUUUUUAGAGUUAGAAGAUGCUUGAAUAAGCACAAUUUUGACAUGAAAUGAUCUUUCUUUAGAGCACAGGUUUUGAAUGCUAUGACUUUAUCAAUGUUGCCUGCUUUUAGAUUGUAGCAUGUGCA
rnacentral:lncRNA from 1 species